AACCAGCACCUCAAGUGGUCAGGAUGAUUAUUGGGCCUAAAGCAUCCGUAGCCUGUUCUAUAAGUUUCCGGUUAAAUCCAUGCGCUCAACGUAUGGGCCGCCAGAAAUACUGCAGAACUAGGGAGUGGGAGAGGUAGACGGUACUCGGUAGGAAGAGGUAAAAUUCUUUGAUCUAUUGAUGACCACCUGUGGCGAAGGCGGUCUACCAGAACACGUUCGACGGUGAGGGAUGAAAGCUGGGGGAGCAAACGGG
rnacentral:rRNA from 1 species